GAGUCCACGUCACCGAACGGCAGGAGCGGGGGACCCAGGUACGUGCCGGCCGGGCGACAGCACGGACGGCUUGGGGUGAAGUCUCGCCCGAGCGCGGCCCCACGCGCUCGUGAGACCGGGCAACUCCAGCCCGAACCCGACAGCUCACCUCGUAGGCGUAGGAGAGGAAGC
rnacentral:sRNA from 2 species